rnacentral:misc_RNA from 1 species
UUUAUGGGUCGCCCCAAUGGGCCUAUGGGUGGCCCCAAUGGUUCCAUGGGUGGCACCAACGGGCCCAUGAGUGGCCCUACAAGUACGGGUUCUAUGGGUGGUUCUAACAGUCCCAUGAGUGGUACCAACAGUCCAAAUGGUCUCAUGAGUAAUCCCAAUAUACCUAUGGGUAGUUCCACUGGUCCUAUGGCCAGUUCUAGUGACUUUGUCUCUAGUCAUUCAGGGCCUAUGUAUGGUUCUGAAGCAUCUAUGUCUGGUUCUAAUAACUCCAUACCUUCCUCUACGAUCCGUCUACAAAAUUUGCCGCCAACUGUAACCUUUACAUUACUCUGCAACAAGAUGUCACAGUGCGGUCAGGUGAUGUCUCUGCGAUUGGGGUCACCUGGGUGUGCCUUCGUGAAGUUUAAUCUUCCAAAGCAUGCUGACGUGUGUUUCCGACGCUUUAAUAACAGCUAUAUAGAGGGGCGCCGUAUAGAGGCCACGUACGUGUAAAGGCGAUGACCUCCCAAAUUGGACAAAUUUUGGACUGCCGACCACGUGAUUUCUCCGUCAGUGGGCUGGUGACUAUUCACUAAAGGCUGUUGAAAGUCGAUAUUCUUCCUCAGGGAAUUCAUAUAUUAGAUAUAUUAGAUAUUUUACUAAGAAAUAACAAUUAUUAGAAAUAAUGUAAGCAAUGUUAAAUUUAUCUCCAAAAGAGAUCUUUUACUGUUAAUUUAAACAUGGUAGCAUAGGAAGUUAAUCAAUACAUAUAAUAAAAUCGUAAUUGGUCGCUGUCUGUACAUAGAAGAUAUAUAAGAAAACGUAUUACAGGAGGAGUAUAUGAACGCAAUAGAAUCU